UAGAUUGAGGCCCGCUGGAUAGGGUGUUUAGUUGUUAGUUAAAAUAUUACGGGAUCGAGGCCCGUCAGUCUAG
rnacentral:tRNA from 1 species